rnacentral:rRNA from 1 species
GGGUUGUGAGGUUAAGCGACUAAGCGUACACGGUGGAUGCCACGGCAGUCAGAGGCGAUGAAGGACGUGCUAAUCUGCGAAAGCGCCGGCGAGGUGAUAUGAACCUUUGACCCGGCGAUGUCCGAAUGGGAAACCCAGUGCAAUCCGUUGCACUAUCGUUAACUGAAUACAUAGGUUAACGAGGCGAACCGGGGAACUGAAACAUCUAAGUACCCCGAGGAAAGAAAUCAACCGAGAUUCCCCAGUAGCGGCGAGCGAACGGGGAGCAGCCCGAGUCUGAAUCAGCUUGUGUUAGUGGAACGGUCUGGAAAGUCCGACGGUACAGGGUGAUAGUCCCGUACACGAAAAUGCACAUGCUGUGAACUCGAAGAGUAGGGCGGGACACGUGGUAUCCUGUCUGAAUAUGGGGACCAUCCUCAAGGCUAAAUACUCCUGACUGACCGAUAGUGAACCAGUACCGUGAGGGAAAGGCGAAAGAACCCCGGCGAGGAGUGAAAAGAACCUGAAACCGUGUACGUACAAGCAGUGGGAGCCUCUUUAUGGGGUGACUGCGUACCUUUGUAUAAUGGGUCAGCGACUUAUUCUGUAGCAAGGUUAACCGUAUAUAGGGAGCCGAAGGAAACCGAGUCUUAACUGGGCGUUAAGUUGCAGGGUAUAGACCCGAAACCCGGUGAUCUAAAACCAUGGGCAGGUUGAAGGUUGGGUAACACUAACUGAGGACCGAACCGACUAAUGUUGAAAAA